rnacentral:rRNA from 1 species
UACGGAGGAUCCGAGCGUUAUCCGGAUUUAUUGGGUUUAAAGGGGGCGUAGGCGGCCUAUUAAGUCAGGGGGGAAAGACGGUAGCUUAACUAUCGCAGUGCCUUUGAUACUGAUAGGCUUGAAUGUACUUGAGGUAGGCGGAAUGUGACAAGUAGCGGUGAAAUGCAUAGAUAUGUCACAGAACACCAAUUGCGAAGGCAGCUUACUAAAGUAUGAUUGACGCUGAGGCACGAAAGCCAGGGGAGCGAACGGG